CCGGUCUCGGCCCGGUCGCCGGGCGGGCGCUCGCCGAGCACCCCGGCGUCGACCUCGUCUCCUUCACCGGUUCCACGGCGGUCGGCCGGC
rnacentral:tRNA from 1 species